rnacentral:lncRNA from 10 species
GCAUGCAUUCUCUUUUCAUGCAGGUAACAGAAUAGACAUGGAGCAGAUCCCUCUGAAAUCAGUUAUAAAUAUUAAAUUGUAUUGAACAUUCAUAGUAAAAAUACGUUGUAAAGUGCUGAAGUCAUGUAAGUCUGCAAAACUGCCACAAGCUCAAAGUUCUUCUCAAGCAGUGGCAGAGAUUUGCUAUAUCCACCUUGUUUUAGAUUAUGCCUGUUUUUGACAGACACUGUGUCAUUUCCUCCCCCACCCUCCCCAAAGUUUUAUAGAUUGUCCUAUUUCUAUGGCUGGUAAGAUGCUCUACAAAAUGUAGCAGGUGGUGAUGAACUAUGCCACUUUCAUUUCAGUGCAGAGAAAUAUUCAAGCUUGUGUGUACCUGUAACCAAACUAGGCUUGUUAUGUUUUUCCCCCGAGUUGUCAUAAAUUAACAUUAAUGAUGAGUAAAGAUGGAGCAGCGAGCAUUGACCGUCACCUGCAGGGUGAGAUUGCAGUAAAAUAGGUGAGUAAAAAGUCCACCUAUUAUCCUGACACUUGUCCUCUUUACAGAAAACUGUAACGUGAGCAAUACUAUACAUGUAGUGUGACUCCAAAAAUAAAAAAUAAAACAAACAACAACAACAACAACAAAAAAACAAUGACCAGUUACCCGAUACCUCUGGCAACUUAGAACAAUCAAGUUGUGAGUUAUAGAAGAUGUAAAUUGCAACUUGUAACUCGCUAUAACAUAAAUGUCUCUGUUACCCCCAUGUGAAAUACAGAAAUGCUUCAACAAUUAGAUGGUUUUUUCUUUAAAUCAGAAAUGCUUUAACAGUUCAAUGAAAUAUAAUUCUGAUCAAAGAAGUUCCUCAAGUAUUCUUAGAUGAUAAAACAAAUUAUUUUUGAAAGCUAAGGUGAUUUGCUAUCCGUUAUUUUUUCCCCUUUAAAUAGCACAUGUUGCCCUUAAUCAAAUGGAAGAAUCAUGACAACUUGGCCUUUUAUGAAAGUAUUUUUUACAAGAUAAGACGUAUUCUGUGAGGCAUUUAAAGGACUGCAGAAAGGAGGUAAAAAUGCUGCUUAUGUCUCAGAUUUUAUUUCUUUUGAUUAAUCAUCCUAGAAUAACUUAAUAAUAAAUAGCGGUUUAAAUUAAAGACACUACAGUCACAUAUUUCUGUAUAACUAAAAGCAACAGGAAACACAUUUUUAAAUGCCAUUUUGUAUAUUCUGUACUGAAACACUUCUGGUAAGGACUGGCCAUAAAAAGAAGUGGUAAUCUUCACAUUUAUGAA